UUAUAGCAUGUACUGUAGCUGGGGUUUUGGUUUUGCUGAGAUCCAUCCUCUAUCGAGAAGUCUGAACCGACUUUAAAAAUAGGUUUUUGAAUUCCUAUUUAAAAACCGACUUAUAAAGCAUUGCAACAAGGUAAAUCUAUCGCUGAGCACCCCAAAUCAACGUUUGGAUGAAACGCAGACGAUCUGGCGUCUGAAUUUCAAUUUUAAGACAAGUCAAAUAGCUCAACAGUAAGUACUUGAUUUUAUGUCUAUAUUUGUAAAUUUCAGUUUGGGUCACUUAA
rnacentral:lncRNA from 1 species